rnacentral:rRNA from 1 species
AGAGUUUGAUCAUGGCUCAGAUUGAACGCUGGCGGCAGGCCUAACACAUGCAAGUCGAGCGGAUGAAGGGAGCUUGCUCCUGGAUUCAGCGGCGGACGGGUGAGUAAUGCCUAGGAAUCUGCCUGGUAGUGGGGGAUAACGUCCGGAAACGGGCGCUAAUACCGCAUACGUCCUGAGGGAGAAAGUGGGGGAUCUUCGGACCUCACGCUAUCAGAUGAGCCUAGGUCGGAUUAGCUAGUUGGUGGGGUAAAGGCCUACCAAGGCGACGAUCCGUAACUGGUCUGAGAGGAUGAUCAGUCACACUGGAACUGAGACACGGUCCAGACUCCUACGGGAGGCAGCAGUGGGGAAUAUUGGACAAUGGGCGAAAGCCUGAUCCAGCCAUGCCGCGUGUGUGAAGAAGGUCUUCGGAUUGUAAAGCACUUUAAGUUGGGAGGAAGGGCAGUAAGUUAAUACCUUGCUGUUUUGACGUUACCAACAGAAUAAGCACCGGCUAACUUCGUGCCAGCAGCCGCGGUAAUACGAAGGGUGCAAGCGUUAAUCGGAAUUACUGGGCGUAAAGCGCGCGUAGGUGGUUCAGCAAGUUGGAUGUGAAAUCCCCGGGCUCAACCUGGGAACUGCAUCCAAAACUACUGAGCUAGAGUACGGUAGAGGGUGGUGGAAUUUCCUGUGUAGCGGUGAAAUGCGUAGAUAUAGGAAGGAACGCCAGUGGCGAAGGCGACCACCUGGACUGAUACUGACACUGAGGUGCGAAAGCGUGGGGGGCAAACAGGAUUAGAUACCCUGGUAGUCCACGCCGUAAACGAUGUCGACUAGCCGUUGGGAUCCUUGAGACCUUAGUGGCGCAGCUAACGCGAUAAGUCGACCGCCUGGGGAGUACGGCCGCAAGGUUAAAACUCAAAUGAAUUGACGGGGGCCCGCACAAGCGGUGGAGCAUGUGGUUUAAUUCGAAGCAACGCGAAGAACCUUACCUGGCCUUGACAUGCUGAGAACUUUCCAGAGAUGGAUUGGUGCCUUCGGGAACUCAGACACAGGUGCUGCAUGGCUGUCGUCAGCUCGUGUCGUGAGAUGUUGGGUUAAGUCCCGUAACGAGCGCAACCCUUGUCCUUAGUUACCAGCACCUCGGGUGGGCACUCUAAGGAGACUGCCGGUGACAAACCGGAGGAAGGUGGGGAUGACGUCAAGUCAUCAUGGCCCUUACGGCCAGGGCUACACACGUGCUACAAUGGUCGGUACAAAGGGUUGCCAAGCCGCGAGGUGGAGCUAAUCCCAUAAAACCGAUCGUAGUCCGGAUCGCAGUCUGCAACUCGACUGCGUGAAGUCGGAAUCGCUAGUAAUCGUGAAUCAGAAUGUCACGGUGAAUACGUUCCCGGGCCUUGUACACACCGCCCGUCACACCAUGGGAGUGGGUUGCUCCAGAAGUAGCUAGUCUAACCGCAAGGGGGACGGUUACCACGGAGUGAUUCAUGGCUGGGGUGAAGUCGUAACAAGGUAGCCGUAGGGGAACCUGCGGCUG